rnacentral:rRNA from 1 species
AAAGUCAAUUAUUACUUAACUUACACAUGCAAGUUUCCGCCUCCCUGUGAAAACGCCCUCAAACCCCUCACCACGGGACGAGGAGCUGGUAUCAGGCGCGAUAAUCUGCCCAUAACACCUAGCUCUGCCACACCCACAAGGGAAUUCAGCAGUGAUUAACAUUGAUCAUGAGCGAAAGCUCGACUCAAUUAAAGUAAAUAGAGCCGGCUAAUCUGGUGCCAGCCGCCGCGGUUACACCACAAGACUCAAAUUGACUUUUAUCGGCGUAAAGCGUGAUUAAAGUAAUUUUAUAACUAAGAUUAAACUAAAACUAAGCUGUAAUACGCCUGUUUCUGAGAAACCCAAGAACGAAAGUCAUCUUAAUCAAGUCACUUGA